rnacentral:rRNA from 1 species
UGGGGGAUAUUGCACAAUGGAGGAAACUCUGAUGCAGCAACGCCGCGUGAAGGAUGAAGGUCUUCGGAUUGUAAACUUUUGUACUUGGGGACGAUAAUGACGGUACCCAAGCAGCAAGCUCCGGCUAACUACGUGCCAGCAGCCGCGGUAAUACGUAGGGAGCAAGCGUUGUCCGGAUUUACUGGGUGUAAAGGGUGCGUAGGCGGCCAUACAAGUCAGUUGUGAAAACUAUGGGCUCAACCCAUAGCCUGCAAUUGAAACUGCGUGGCUUGAGUGAAGUAGAGGUAGGUGGAAUUCCCGGUGUAGCGGUGAAAUGCGUAGAGAUCGGGAGGAACACCAGUGGCGAAGGCGACCUACUGGGCUUUAACUGACGCUGAGGCACGAAAGCAUGGGUAGCAAACAGGAUUAGAUACCCUGGUAGUCCAUGCCGUAAACGAUGAUUACUAG